AGAGUUUGAUCCUGGCUCAGGACGAACGCUGGCGGCGUGCUUAACACAUGCAAGUCGAACGGAACGCCUUGGAAAGAGAUUUCGGUCAAUGGAAGGGGUUGUUUAGUGGCGGACGGGUGAGUAACGCGUGAGGAACCUGCCUUUCAGAGGGGGACAACAGUUGGAAACGACUGCUAAUACCGCAUAAUGCAUAGGUAUCGCAUGGUACAGAUGCCAAAGAUUUAUCGCUGAGAGAUGGCCUCGCGUCUGAUUAGCUAGUUGGUAGGGUAACGGCCUACCAAGGCGACGAUCAGUAGCCGGACUGAGAGGUUGGCCGGCCACAUUGGGACUGAGAUACGGCCCAGACUCCUACGGGAGGCAGCAGUGGGGAAUAUUGGGCAAUGGGCGCAAGCCUGACCCAGCAACGCCGCGUGAAGGAAGAAGGCUUUCGGGUUGUAAACUUCUUUUAACAGGGAAGAGCAGAAGACGGUACCUGUUGAAUAAGCCACGGCUAACUACGUG
rnacentral:rRNA from 1 species